GUAUGAAUGAAGUCUUUAAGGUUUAGCAGUUGUAAACUGUGAGUAGUGAAAUGCAGAAUUAGGUCCGUUGAUCGUGAGAAUCAAAUAUUGACUGCUUCGCUAAAAACUGACAAUUGUAAAUGCAGGCGCAGGAGUGGCUGUGUGGUAAGUAGCUUGCU